UGUUGAAACAACAGUUCUCCUAAAAACCCAAGUUAAGCAAUGUUGGGCCUGGUCAGUACCUAGAUGGGUGACCACUUGGGAAUACCAGGUGCUGUU